AAUUAACUCCAAAAUAUCAUCACUUUUUAAAAGCUUCCCACAAUGAAUUUAAUUGAACAGAGGCCCGAACCGGCAAAAAUUAAAAUAAAAGAAGAGAACUAACAACUAUAUAAAUAUUUAGACCACAAAAUAGGAAAGUUCUCGACCCCUUCCAUUCCAGUCUUAUCUACUCUAAUGUCGGUUCUUGAAAGCUUCAUAGAUGACGCGUCUUCUUCUCAAACCUCAAGGAUUCUACAAAUUGAUGAGGUUCAUAAAAUUAAUAUAAAAAAAGAAAAUUAACAACUAUACAACUAUUUAGACCAAGAAAUAGGGGAAUCCUCGACCCCUUCCAUUCUACUCCGAUCUACUCUGAUGUCGGCUUCUUGAUGUCUUCAUAGAUGAGGCGUCUUCUUCUCAAACCUAAGGAUUCUAAAGUUUGAUCAGGUUCAUAUGAUGCUUUUGGUCAUAACUUUGAUAUUUUAUACAUCCCAAUAUCGAGCAAUUUGUGUCACUUUGUAAGCGACAUCUUAUAAGCUCACAGUUGCCAUGAAAUCAAUUCCUUUAAGUACAUCAUCAAUUCAAAUAUCAUGAAAUCUCUGUAAAGAUAUAAAUCAAUUACGAAUCAAUAAGUCCAUUGACAAGAAUAAAGUGUUUGUAUCACGAGAAUCUUCUUCUCUUUGCUCGAACUCGAGACCUCUGGUUAAUAUUGCAAGGGAUUUAAACGAUCCCUUCACAUCUGUUGCUGGUACCAAAGUGCUCAAAACAUUACUGUCACGAUUGGACAUCUUGCCCCUUUACCCAUCAAGGGGAAAAAGCACGUCGACAUAACCCGAGAAAAUACAACUAUUUUCCAAUUUCUUGCCCAAGUUACAAAUUCGAACCUUGCAUAAAGGGAGAUCAUUGAGAAUUGUGUCAUGGAGUUUUUGAGCACUGGUUACACCCUGCAAAGUACAGGACCACUCUGUGCCAAGCUGAAACGUCAUGUAACAGACCAAUUUGUUUCUUCGCACAUACACUGAAAGAGCUUCGUCCGGAGACAAAAUACAAUUGGUGUUAUGUGUAUCUAUGCCCUUUAUACAUCCAAUCAUAUCCGUACAUUAUGAUUAAAACUUGUCCAAAUGGUAAUUGGAUGAUCAUUCCUUGUAACCCUCAUCUACAACCACCACCACCUGAUCAGUGUUAUGAUAAUACCACUUUUGGACUUGGAAAUUGUUCUAAUCCUCAAAGAAUUCCUCUAAAAAUAUGCCAACAUUUGAGUUGUUUACUCCUCCUCCUCCUUCUUCUCCCUCAUCUUCUCAAUCUCAUUCAAAGUUUGUUUAUAGGUUACAUAAUGAAAGUGAUUUUUCACUUUUUUCCUCCAACCACAAAUAGUUGAUUGAGCGGAUGAAAACUCUUGAGCUUGGGAGUACUUCCCAUGCUAAGAUAAAUAAAAUUCACGAUGAUAAUGGGAAGAGGAUUGUGGAGUAAGAAUUAUGUUAUUAAGAAUUUCCAAAUUACAUUUAUUGAGUUUCUGACUUGUUAGUGGAAGAAUUUGAGGGUCCAAGCUUGUAAUAUUUUGUGCAUGAUGUGUCACAGUAAUUCAUUUUAAUUUUAAUGUAUUA